rnacentral:rRNA from 1 species
GACGAACGCUGGCGGCGCGCCUAACACAUGCAAGUCGAACGAGCGAGCGAGAGCUUGCUUUCUCGAGCGAUUGGCGAACGGGUGAGUAACGCGUGAGGAACCUGCCUCAAAGAGGGGGACAACAGUUGGAAACGACUGCUAAUACCGCAUAAGCCCACGUCUCGGCAUCGAGCAGGGGGAAAAGGAGCAAUCUGCUUUGAGAUGGCCUCGCGUCCGAUUUGCUAGUUGUUGAGGUAACGGACCAGCAAGGCGACGAUCGGUAGCCGGACUGAGCGGAUGAACCGGAACCUUGCGACUGAGACCAGGCCCAGAUCCCCACGGAAGGCAGCAGUGGGGAAUAAUGAACAAUGGGGGAAACACUGAUGCAGCGACGCCGCGUGGAGGAAGAAGGUCUUCGGAUCGUAAACUCCUGUUGUUGGGGAAGAUAAUGACGGUACUAAACAAGGAAGUGACGGCAAACUACGU